AACGCACAUUGCGCCCCUUGGUAUUCCACUGGGCAUGCCUGUUCGAGCGUCAUCUACACCCUCAAGCUGUGCUUGGUGUUGGGCGUCUGUCCUCGUUCCCCGCGGACUCGCCUCAAAUGCAUUGGCGGCGGCUCUACCGGCUUCUUGCGCAGCACUUUUGCGCGUGGAAGACCGGUGGGCUCGCACCCAUCAAGGACCUCUCCAUUUGACCUCGAAUCAGGUAGGGAUACCCGCUGAACUUAA
rnacentral:misc_RNA from 1 species